UUAUUGAGAACAAAGAAGAAACUUCUAAAAGGUAACCGAUUGGAGUAAAAUUAUCAGGUUCAAAAGGGGUAUAUUGAGUUCAUACGGUUGUGCGUAUGUACAUACCUUUCUUGGUCUUGCCCGCUGGCUUAGGAGACAUUGCGAUGACUGAGAGGCGCCGGUGAGUUAAGGGAAGAGUUAGUAGCGAAAGAAUUGCAGUGAAAGUUUGGGGUUUGAAGACAAG
rnacentral:misc_RNA from 1 species